rnacentral:rRNA from 1 species
UACAGAGGGUGCAAGCGUUAAUCGGAAUUACUGGGCGUAAAGCGUGCGUAGGUGGUUUGUUAAGUCUGUUGUGAAAGCCCCGGGCUCAACCUGGGAAUGGCAAUGGAUACUGGCAGGCUAGAGUGCGGUAGAGGGUAGUGGAAUUCCCGGUGUAGCGGUGAAAUGCGUAGAGAUCGGGAGGAACACCAGUGGCGAAGGCGGCUACCUGGACCAGCACUGACACUGAGGCACGAAAGCGUGGGGAGCAAACAGG